CUCGACAGCAAGAGUUUUCCAACGCUGUUUGAUCUGGGAAAGGUCGAGAAAAAGGAUCUCUUCACCGGAACUUUCAUGCCCUCCACGGAACGCACCGACGGUUACCGGGUCUUAUCCUA